rnacentral:misc_RNA from 1 species
GAUGAAGAACGCAGCAAAUGCGAUAAGUAGUGUGAAUUGCAGAAUUCAGUGAAUCAUCGAAUCUUUGAACGCACAUUGCGCCCUUUGGUAUUCCUUAGGGCAUGCCUGUUCGAGCGUCAUUUAAACCUUCAAGCUCAGCUUGGUGUUGGGUGACUGUCCGCUUCACCGCGGACUCGCCUCAAAAUUAUUGGCGGCCGGUACAUUGGCUUCGAGCGCAGCAGAAACGCGAACUCGGGCCCGUCGUAUUGGCUCCCAGAAGCUAUCUUCACAAUUUUGACCUCGGAUCAGGUAGGGAUACCCGCUGAACUUAAGCAUAUCAAUAAGCGGAGGA